CGGACCCCGCCUGCGUGCGUGACUUGGGCCGAAGCCCGUGUACCCCUUUGCCCCUCACAUACCCCUUCGCCCCUUGGGCUAUAAAUAGACCUCCUCCACCUCCUUUCUAGGGUUAGCAAAGUGAUAGCUCAUUCCUAGGUGAGCUUUGCUCCUACUUAUCUCUACUGUUGAGAGAGAGAGACCACUACUCCAUUGGAGGCCAAGACCUCCAUCUAGGAGAAUAUCCCGCGGGAUAUCAUCAAGACCCCCUUGUGGGAAGAUCCAUCUAGGAUAUCAUCAAGACCUCCUCUUGGAGAUGAACCUUACCUUGUAUCUUUCCCUUUGUUGUUCAUAUACCUUGUGAUCUUGUGUGUUUGAUUGUCUAGUGGAUGUGUGAUUUGGACUUUUUCUUGAGUGUUUCCCCUUGUGAUUUCUUCCCGUUCUUCCCCGUGUUCAUCGUGUUCUUCGAGGGAUCCCACUCCAAACGUGAAAGAUCGUCGCUAUAGGGUUCCACCCUACAUCAUAUGGUAUCAUGAGCCACGUUGAUCACGUUUUUGGAGUCCCUCCCACCGUUUUCUAGCCUUCUUUUGCUUGAUUUCGUCCUAAAUCCGAAAAUCCCCACCAAAAAUAGCCCCCAAAAUUUUUUGUGAUUUGUUGGUUUGAUGAUGUUUUGUUGAUUUUGAUCCGUGGAUUUGCUUGGUUUCAAGUGGAUCUAGCAUCUCCCCAAGUUUCCCCAUCUUCCAUCCACGAAAUCCAUCAAAUUUUGCCCCAAAAAUCAUGCAUUUCCGCCCAAAAAAUUCAUCCCCACGAGCAAAUCCCGAGCGGAUUGACUUGCCCGGAUCAUCCGGACAUUCUCCCGGAUCAUCCGGACCUCGCCCGGAUCAGCUGGACGCCCCCCCGGACGUCCGGAUAAAUCGCGCACCCAGAAAACAGAACCAGCGCUGACGAACCCGGAUCAUCCGGAUUUCCUCCCGGAUCAUCCGGACCUAGCCCGGAUCAUCCGGACCUCCUCCCGGAUCAUCCGGACCUAGCCCGGAUCAUCCGGACCUCCUCCCGGAUCAUUCGGUUAACCCUGAAACUGACACGGCUGAAAUCUUAUUUCGGUCAUAACUAAUUCAUCCGGAGUCCGAUUUUGACGUUCUUUAGCUCGUUUUGAAGCUCUUGACAUCCCCCAUCCCACAAAAAUACCACCAACAUCAUUUGACUCUAUCAUAUUUUCUGAAAUUUGGCAAGUUUGCCUAGGGCUUCCACCAUAUCAUCCGCAUUACCACCACCGACUUCCGCAACCUAACCCAUUUUGUUCCCCAUAGCGUUUGAGGUUGUUUGAGUAGUGACUUGAGUCUCCUAAGGUGUUUCGGCUACUUAGGGACGGUUGCUUCUUCAUCAACCACCACCACCACCACUUCCACAUAACCUUCCCACCAUACACUUCCGACAACCCAACUUAACCCAAUUGUUGUUUGAGCUUGUUCGAGUUGUGGCCUGUGUCUCCUAAGGUGUUUCGGCUACUUAGGGACGGCAACUUCAACUCCGACUUGUGUAUAACCCAUCAUUCCACUUCCGCAUUGCCUAGUGCAACACCACCACCGCUUUCCGCUACCACCAUUUGACAUUUGUCAUUUGAGAUUUUGAGUUUGCGGUUUUUCCGUUUCCUAAGGUGUUUCGGCUACUUAGGGACGAGUCUCCAUCAUCUUGGUAUCUACACCAAGAACACCGCCACUCAUCAUCACAAAGGACGGUAACCUCGACGACACCAUUGUAUAUUCCCUUGCAAUUGCAUUAUUAACCCCUAGCCCAUUUUGCGUUACUUGCCUAUCGAGACUAGCCAUUUGAGUAUUGCCGGCAACGUGACUUGUGCACAUUAGUGGUCUACACCAUCCAUUGCAUACAUACCAUACCAUCUUGGUAUCAUAUCAUCCAUUGUGCCUCAAGUUUGGUCCCGCAUAUACACAAUUGCUAUCUUGGUUUGUGCAUUGUGCAAAAGUGGCCAUAGAAAAAAAAAGAGAAAAAGCUUUUAAGCAAAAAGAGAGCAAAGAGCUCGUGAGCAAGUGCCAUAGCAUCAUACCCCCAUUGCAAAUAAGAGCCAUACCAAAAUCUACAUCAUAUGAUAUCAUGCUUGAGAGAAACACCGGGAACCAUACAUACAUAGCAUACUUGGGAUAGAAGUUUAUCCAUUUCGCAUCUAUAGGUUGUGCACAAGUGUCGUAUCCGCCUAUUGAGCAAUCGUGCUAGCGUCUCUCUUGAGUUGUGCAAUACGAGCAUUUUCCGUGGACUCCACAUUUUGUGCUCAUUCCUUGGUUGCACGACCCCAUUUAUCUAUCCGUGUGUGUGUUUACGUGUACCAUUUGCUAUUGGUCUACUUGUUUCACUUGCGAAUUUGUGAAUCUGUUUCAACAUUAUUGACUCUUGCUAACAUUUUGCAUUAAAUUUUUGUGCCACUAUCCUCACCGAGCUCCACCAUAAGCUUUACUUGAUAGGUGUGAGUGAACAAGUCCGGUACCAAUUCCACUAUUCUUUCAUCUCACAUUGAGUGACACGGGAUACAUCCUCAACGUUGGGAAAAGGUAACUUGGUAUUGUUUAUCUCAUUUCCUACUCACCUCUACUCGAGUCUUGUGAUGGAUAGGCAAGGCAUUUCACUUUCGGUCUACAACAACAAUGACGAGUUCGAUGCCAUGAACAACAACUACGACGCCAAGAUGGACAAGCGCAUGGAGGAGAUCAAGGCCCUCAUCUAGUCCUACAAGCGAUCUUCCUCAUCUUCGAGAAGACGCUCAAGAGCACAUCCUUCCGAGCUACCACCUCCGGCAAGAUCACAUCGGCAUCGACACCAUCACCAACAAGAACGUGAAGGUCCAGAGCUCAACACCAACAACCGCUCAACGACUUCACCAUCUCCCUUGGCAUCUUCGCCAAGCGACUUCAAGGCAUCUUCGCCUAUGGACAUAUUGCAUCUUCGCCAACAAGAACCUCAAGACUACACUCAAGAGAAGCUACCCAAGCUCAAGUCCGCGACUUCCACGAGCUACUACGACCUCGACACCGACCACAAGAUUCCUUUCUAUGGGACUCAAGAACCCGAGGAGUACCUCGAGUGGGAGCGUUUGAUGGACGACUACCUCAAGCUACAUCAAGUUCCUCCCGAAGAUCAAGUGAAGUGCGCCACAAGAAACUUCCACGACUACGCAUUGGCAUGGUGGCUUCACACACCUUCGGAGUACUACGACAUGAGUUGGCACAAGACGAAGAAAGCUUUGCGGCGAGAGUUUGUGCCUCCAACCUACACGGAACAACUUCGACGCCAAUUGGAGAACACCACCCAAGGAUCCAAGUCCAUCGACAAGUACUUCAAAGAGAUGAUGAUUGCCUUGCGACGAGCCGGCGUGGACGACCCCAUUUCGAUGAAGUUCCACUUCAUGAUGGGAUUGCACAAUGACAUCUCCAAGACCAUCUUCCUCGAGAACUACAUGUCCAUCGACGACUACUACAUUGGUGCUCUCAAGGCGGAACAAGAACUCAUGAAGGCCAAGGCUUCUCCACCCCAAGCAAACUUCGCGGCGACCAAGCUCUACGACAAGCAUGAGGCUAGUACCACCAUGAUGUCCAAGGCCGACAAGCUCCAAGAUGAUGCUCCCAAGUGUGACUUCACCGCCAUCCCUCUUUGUGGCAUUGAUGAUGCCGAGUCUACUUCGACUCUUUUUCAAGACGGCGCGGCGACGAGUUUGACUACGGAGACCUUCAAGGACCAAGCUUUGGAGGCGAGUGACAAGGUGAAGAGCAAGGAUGAUGCUUCCAUCUUAGGAGGCAAGAGUGAUGAUGUGCCAUCUUCGGCCUUCAUCCACGACGAGAGUGAUGUUGAGCCAUCUUCGGCCUUCAUCCACGACGAGAGUGAUGAUGGGCCAUCUUCGGCCUUCAUCCACGGCGACCACGACGAGAUGGUUGAGCAUGGGACUUUCCCUUCGACCACGGCGAUGUACGAUGACUUGAGUGACUUGUGCCACCAUAUUGAGAGUGAGAGUGACUUCACCACUAGCCCCAUAUAUGAUGAGUUGCCACAAUUCCCAUGUGAGGAGAGCCACAACCCCCACCACUUGAGUGAGAUGAGUGACUCCACCAUACGUGAGUUUGAGUGCACCUAUUUUGAGGGAGUGAGUGAACCACCACAUAGAGAGAGUAAGAUAGUUGAUAGGUCUCGUGAGGCCAUUUGCAUUUCUAACAACUUGACCUCUACCUCUAUUGUGUCUUCUCGUUUGGUGCUAGGUCCCAUUUAUGAUGACGCGCCGAUCCUCGACGACUUCGUCCUCCCUUUGGACAAGACAAUGGCCAUGGUGGAUUAUGAUGCACCGCCCACAUGGUUCCAUCAAGAUGAUGAUGAUGACCACCAUUUGGUCUUUCCCACCUCACCUACACCACUUGAGUGGAAUGACAAAGGUAACAUAGGUGAAGGUGAUGCUCUAGUCCCACUAGUGGACAUUCUUGACAUUGAUUGCUUGCAUGAUGUUGAUCCACCUAUUGCCAUGCUUCAUGCUAGUAUGAUUUCCCCAUGCGAUGAUUUGCCCAUUUAUGAUGAGUAUGAUGAUUCUAUUGUGGAUUCUAUUAGUUGUGAUGCCAUGUUACAUAGGAUUUCUUGUGACAAUUCUUUAGGUCACAUCAUGUUUGAUAAUCCGCUUGACUUGUCAUAUGCUAUGCAUGAGAUCAACCAUAUGUCUUAUUUGGAAUCUCUUCAUAGUGACUAUGCAUAUGCCAUUAAAAUAAACCCAAUUUGCACAUAUGGGAUAGAUGACAAGCCCAUGGUUAUUGGCAUUUGUUUUUCUUGUGAUGAUAUUGAUAUGCUCCCUUUGCAUCAUUUAUCUCAUAUGCCAUGCCAUGACCACCUUGCUUCGGAUAUGCAUUGUUUUGGAUGUUGUCCAUUUUCUCCAUGUGAUGUUUCCGAUAUUGCUCAUGAGGAGGCCCCCAUAGUUUCCUCAUACAUUUUAGGAGAUUUUGAUCCAUCCCAUCCAUUGCAUGAUCCCAAUACGUGUGUGCACCAUAUGCUCCCCAUGAAUAAACAUGCUUUUGAUGUGCCUUAUACUUGUUUGCUCAAUUUGUGUCCCCAUCGUGUCAUACAUAAUAACUAUUCUUUCAUGAUGGAUGACAUGUUCUUAUACCAUGCAUCAAAUUUCUUUGAGCGAUGCUUAUCUUGUGCUAACUCACACGUGCACAUACACAUCAUGAUGGAUGAUGUGUACAUUUACCACACACACAAUUUCUUUCGUUUGUGUCUCUUUUGUGUAGGUACCCAUGCAUACUUGUCAACUUCGCAAUCCCACGAGUUGACAAAACGAGCUCUUGAGAGCAAUGACGAUUUGGGAUACCGUGGACUAUCCUUACCACCGUUCCCUUCGCGCAAGGACUACGCGCAACUCCUCUACUUGGCUCUCACACGGCUAUGGGCCAUUUACCACUUCUCACAUUAUGCUCAUUUUACUGUGUUCACUUUGCAUGCUAUGCUUGCUUCUAUGCCUUUGCCAUGCAAUUGUGACCCUUGUUUGCAUCUACCCAUGAUUCUCCAUUAUGAUAUUCCUAUGUGUAUUUGCAUGCUUGGUGGAGAUCCUUGUUGCUUUUGCCAUGUUUAUCAUGUGCCCCAUUCUAUUGAUGCUUGUUGUGUUGGGAGAGUCAUGAUGACCCAUUGCUAUUCACGUAUGGCCUCUCGCCAAUACAUUCAUGAUAUUGUACUCAUAUCUUGCUUUCAUGCUUGUGCUAUGACUUGUGAAUUAUUCAUACCCACUAUUUGCACCAAUGACAUAUUUGCCAUGAUUCCUCCUAGUAUGUUGCAUCUUCGCACUACUAGCUUGCUUGAUUUGAUAGCUAUGAAUGCUCGCUAUAUUGCAUCACCCAUGUUCCACUACUUGCUUUCUUGGGUUAAUGACAUAUAUGCUCAUGCCUCACACAUGUUGAACAAUUGCUCUUUCCAUUGUGUUGAGUGCCACAAUAUCUUCACUACACCCUAUGCACGUUAUGCUUGGAUUGUCUUGCACUUGCCCCGUGUGUUUAGACAUUUCACUAUAUUUGGUGUUGUGAAUGACUCUUAUGCCUACCAUAGACCAUUCAUUGAGCACUUUAUGCAUGCUUGCUAUGACCUUGAGGUAGAUGCUUCUUCACUUAUCACAUAUAUUUGCAUCUUGAUCUCACAUUUGCAUGCUUGUUCCCAUAAUGUACUUGAUUGUGCUCAAUUUAUAUGCUCAAAUGCCAUACCACACUUCUUUGUCAAACCAUAUGCUAUGCUUGAUGACAACACUUGUUGGGUGAAUCACCUCUUGAAUGCUUGGUUUUGCUCUUACGACAACCACAUUUGUUUUUCCAAGAGCUUGUUAUCUUUGCUACUUUUGAAGGAAUUACAAGACGGUGCGACAUUGGAGAGUGCCCAUUUGGAACUACAAGAUGACGAAUGCUUGGUGAUCGUCCACUUCUACACGACGACAUCAUCUCUUUCCCAUGGUGAUUUGGAUUUCGUUCCGAGGUCGGAUCUUUCCCAAGGGGGAGGGGAUGAUGCGGAGCAUCCUACGGACAUCACCAUGUCAAGAGCCCAUUUGGCAAGUGACACGUGCGACAUCUACUUCACACACACUAAGGUGAAUCAUCUCCUUUGCACGUGCUCACUUGACCCCUUCGAGGAUGGCAUACUACUUGACACUUCUCCCGUGUGCAUGCAUAGGUAUUGUCGGAACUUCACGGACGACGAGGAGGAGUUCAAGCGCCAAGGAACGACUACACCAUCCGUGAGGGAAGCGUGGAAGAGAAGACGGAAGAAAGGAGAAGAAGACGGAGCGGCUGCAGGAGCCAGGCCGGACAUCCGGACCACCGUCCGGAUCAUCCGGGCUUGGCCGGAUCAUCCGGGUCCCCCUCCGGAUCAUGCGGACAAUUCGGCCCGAAGACAACAGAAGCUGCCCGACGAAGCCGGAUCAUCCGGACGGUCGCCCGGAUCAUCCGGACCCCCGACACCCGGAUCAUCCGGGCCACCAUCCGGAUCAUCCGGACCCCGCCUGCGUGCGUGACUUGGGCCGAAGCCCGUGUACCCCUUCGCCCCUCACAUACCCCUUCACCCCUUGGGCUAUAAAUAGACCUCCUCCACCUCCUUUCUAGGGUUAGCAAAGUGAUAGCUCAUUCCUAGGUGAGCUUUGCUCCUACCUAUCUCUACUCUUGAGAGAGAGAGACCACUACUCCAUUGGAGGCCAAGACCUCCAUCUAGGAGAAGAUCCCGCGGGAUAUCAUCAAGACCCCCUUGUGGGAAGAUCCAUCUAGGAUAUCAUCAAGACCUCCUCUUGGAGAUGAACCUUACCUUGUAUCUUUCCCUUUGUUGUUCAUGUACCUUGUGAUCUUGUGUGUUUGAUUGUCUAGUGGAUGUGUGAUUUGGACUUGUUCUUGAGUGUUUCCCCUUGUGAUUUCU
rnacentral:lncRNA from 1 species